AUAAAAAAUCCACUAAUUUUGCGCUUUUGCAAAAAAGGGCCACCUUUUUAGUUUUUGCAGAUUCGGACCGAAUUUUCAGAAGGAUGACCAAACUAUCCUUCUGUCAAAAUGCAUAAAAAUUAUAUGCUUUAAAAUGCCUAGAAAAUACAACUGUUAAGUCACUAAGUGUAAAACUUCUUGAAAUGACAACUGCUAAGUCAUAAUUACAUGUACAUUUCUCGUGAAACGAAAAAUCCCAUUCAAGAAAAAAAAAAAAUUAAUAAGAUGAAAGAGUGCAACAUUCUCUCAAAUAGUGCAACAAACUCUUCAAAAUAGUACAAUAUCUGUAUAAGUAGUGCAACAUAUGCAUUGUUAAUACACAUUUUGCAUAAUUUUUACAAUAAAUUACGCAUAACUUAGUAUAUUACGAAAAAAUAAUAUAUUAUAUUACAACAUACUAUAAAAAUUAUACAAUAUAUGUAUAAACGGUGCAUAUUUUACACUAUUUGCACAGAUAUUUACACAAUUUGUGUAAAUGUUACACUAUUAUGAGAGGAUAUUGCACCAUUUAGAUGUGUGUUACACUCUUUCUUUUUGAAAAUUAAAUUUCAUUCCAUAUUAAAUAAAGUGUAAAAUUUCUUGGAAAUAACAACUGCUAAACCAUAAUUACAUCCAU
rnacentral:lncRNA from 1 species